GCCUCGGUGGUCUAGUUGGUAUGAUUUUCGCUUAGGGUGAACCCUGAAGCUUCUGUUUGCGAGAGGGUUCGUAUUAUCCAUUCCCAUACUCAUCUUUCACCAUUACUAACAAUUAUCAUAGUCCCGGGUUCAAAUCCCGGCUGAGGCC